rnacentral:rRNA from 3 species
UACGAAGGGUGCAAGCGUUACUCGGAAUUACUGGGCGUAAAGCGUGCGUAGGUGGUUUGUUAAGUCUGAUGUGAAAGCCCUGGGCUCAACCUGGGAAUUGCAUUGGAUACUGGCAGGCUAGAGUGCGGUAGAGGAUGGCGGAAUUCCCGGUGUAGCAGUGAAAUGCGUAGAGAUCGGGAGGAACAUCUGUGGCGAAGGCGGCCAUCUGGACCAGCACUGACACUGAGGCACGAAAGCGUGGGGAGCAAACAGG